UCCCCUCGGCCCCCGCCCCGCGCGCUCCUUCGCCGCGCCCCGGCCCCGCCCCCGCCGGCGCGUCUCCAGCCAACCAGAAGCUGACUGAUCUGCAUAACGCGGCGCGCCCCGCCCACGCCCCGCCCCGCUCUCGCGGUCAGAAUGGUCUCUACGCCGCCACGACGUGGCGGGAAGGAAAAGGCGCCAAAAUGGAGGGGGAGGGGCGCGGGGCGUGAGGGGAGGCGGGAGCUGGGUGUCGAGCCGCGAGGGAGGAAGGAUGGGGAGGGGCGUAUCGAUUCAAACCCAAACAAUAACAAAGCCAUCAAAGGCCGCCGGAGGCCGGCUCUGCGGCUCUCUGUUUCUCGGAGGUUUUUGGGUCAAGGGCUCGAGCUGGAGCAUAACAAGUUGCGCGGGGACGACAGGCGUCGGAGAAAACCCAAGAGAACAAGAAUUGCUCCCUUUUGUUCAGACAGGAAAAUGAAACAUAAAUAGGAUGACACAGGGUCAUACAACAAUGACCCAAAUGCAACUUGGAGUGUUCAAAGAUUGCCUUUUAUCAGGGUCUACGACUGUCCUUGGUACUAAGACAUCAAGUGUAAAUGUAAGUGACCCAGCUCUUCCAAUCCCCUUUACCCUGUUCUCCUUUUUCGAGCCCUACAGGACAACCCCGACAUGCUCCCACUCACCCAGCACUUGCCAGACUUUCUGCCUCUCCAGAGGCAUCCAACCUAUUUCCGAGGGCAUCCUAGGGUUGCCCUCACCUCUUCACUUUUAUUUAAAGCCUUUCCAGCCUCCAGGACACCAGACUGUUAAACAACACCAAGCAUUCUUCACUGUCCACUCCACUCAUCUGACAAUCAUGUGUUUGGCUUUUUAUUUUUUUGGAUCUCCUUGUUGAUUAACUCCUCAAUUAGUUACACCUUGUUUCCCUAUUCUUUGAACAUUAUAUAUAUUUAUAUAUUUUUAAAGUAUUUUAUUAUGAUUUUUUUAAUGUUUAUUUAUUAUUUAUUUUUGAGAGAGAGAGUGUGAGAGGGGAAGGGGCAGAGAGAGAGAGGGAGACACAGAAUCUGAAGCAGACUCUAGGCUCUGAGGUGUCAGCACAGAGCCCGAUGCCGGGCUCGAACUCCUGAACUGCGAGAUCGUGACCUGAGCCAAAGGUGGAUGCUCAAUGCACUGAGCCACCCAGGCGCCCCAAACGUAUAUGUUUUUGUUGUCCAACACCUGUUGGACAACAUGUGUCGUUGAGGAGAAGGAGAAGACCAAAAUGAGUCUCAACAAAAAGGUCAUGAGAAAAGUCAACUGAUACUAAAUUUAAGUGAAUUAGGCGGGCUUGGGUAAAAUAAAGGGAAGGUGAGGAGCAAGGGGCUUAAAAAUAUGGGAUUUGGCACCUACUAGUUCUGUGACAUUCGUCACGUUACUUAACCUUUCUAAGCUUUAGACUCUGGAUGGAGAUAAUAGCACCUACCUCAUAGGGCUGUUGUAAGGCGCAAAUAAAAUUCUACAUGUAAAGCACGUAACCUAGCACAGAGUAAACUUCUAAUAAAUGUUAGCUGUGAUGACAAUAAUGACGAUUGUGAUUAUGACAAUAAUGACUUUGGAAUGGUCUUGUACCUUGGAGGUUCCAAAGGUGAAAUACUAGAUACAUCUGAUUGUAAUCAUCCAGGGACAGAAUGUGAUUCAAAAUAAUUGUAUACAUUAAAUCAAGUUCAACCUUUUUCACUUUCUCUAGAUCUUUGCAGGGCUAAAUAUUUAAUUAGGUAGAGCUAAAGUGAUUAACAUUUAAUAUGCUGCUUCGUAUGGUGGCUGCUUCACAGCUGGAAGUUACAAAACAUGGACCUUGCUUGGCAAAGAGCUUUUAUUUACUUAAAACUGCUUUUAAAGAUAAUUAUUAAACAUUCAA